rnacentral:lncRNA from 1 species
CACGACCCACUCUGUUUUGCCUAUAGAAAUUUUCACCCAAAAAAAUUCCCGCUUUUUGGCUUAAUCGAUUGCUACCAAAACCAAAUUAAUUCAAUUUGCCUACCCUCAAAAUUUCUUGUGGAUCCCAUGGUUGCAAUCCCAAUCUCUUCAUUUGCCACAGUAUUGAUUUUUGGUCAAUAAAUUCUUGCCUAAUUUACGACGUGGAGAUUGUGUUCUUCAAGCAGUCUUAAAGGUAUGCCUAUCAGGUUUGCUUUAAUCUUUGAUUGAUUUUCCAGCUUUGUUUAAUUAGAUCUGGUGCUUCGAUUGAUUUUUCUAAAAUUCGAAGAAUUUGUUAAAUAUGAACCAUUGGAUUUAUAUGACACUUUUAAUCUGUAAUUAAUUACUCAAAUAUGUCUUUUCUUAAACAGAAAUUUUUUGUUUUUAAUGAUGCUUGAUUAGUAUAGUUUUAAUCAUUUUCUUUUGUUUCCCCAUUUUGAACCGAAUGUAGUAGAUGGGAUUGUGAAGUUUUCAUGUAAUUUUAGUUGACUUCUUUGAAGGGGGAAAAAAAAAAGUAGAAUUAACUACAAAGAAAUUCUGUUUUAUUGAAAUGGGCUUGAUCAAUUGUGACAUUAUGUUUAGGGGAGUGAAAUUGGAAUUGGGAUUGUGAAAGAUUUAUUUUAAUAUUUGUUCUAAUUUUAAUUUCAAGGUGAUGAAUUCCAUUCCAUGUUCUGCUUGUAAUUCAUUUCUUUGUAAUUUGACAAGUAGUAUGCUAUGAGAUUGUCGUUUUGGCUUCUAUGAAGGAUGAGCACCCUUGAUAACUUCCGUGUAUCACGUCAAGAGGACGAGGCUCCUAACGGGGGAGGAAAGGAGAGGGUAAGCAGGCUAUUUUCACUGUGGAAGUUGUAGGUCUCUUUGCCCUUUCCAUAUUAGUAGCAAAAUUUCUCCUACCUUUUAGUAGCUUGCGUUGUCUUCCACACUGCUUUCUUAAGUUAGUUGUUAGACUAAGUUCACCGGCCAAGUCAUAAUUUUAGAUUCAUUUGUAGCUGACUUUAUUUCUGUCACCUUAAAUCUUCAACUUGUCCUAUGAACAAAAACUGUAAUCAUACUGGUAAGUAUGAAUCAAAGAAAAUAUUAAGUAUUUUCAUGUCAAUAUAUACAUGCUAUGUAUAAUUAUAAUCCUGUUGAUUUCUGAUAACUGCG